GGAAUCUUGCGCAAUGGGCGAAAGCCUGACGCAGCGACGCCGCGUGGGUGAUGAAGGCCUUCGGGUUGUAAAGCCCUGUGGGGAGAGAAGAAUAAGUUUUGGUUAAUACCCGAAGCGAUGACGGUAUCUCCUUAGCAAGCACCGGCUAACUCUGUGCCAGCAGCCGCGGUAAGACAGAGGGUGCAAACGUUGUUCGGAAUUACUGGGCGUAAAGCGCGUGUAGGCGGCCAAGCAAGUCGGAUGUGAAAGCCCUCGGCUCAACCGGGGAAGUGCACUCGAAACUGCAUGGCUAGAGUCUCGGAGAGGAUCGUGGAAUUCUCGGUGUAGAGGUGAAAUUCGUAGAUAUCGAGAGGAACACCGGUGGCGAAGGCGGCGAUCUGGACGAUGACUGACGCUGAGACGCGAAAGCGUGGGGAGCAAACA
rnacentral:rRNA from 1 species